rnacentral:rRNA from 1 species
GACGUAGGGCGCGAGCGUUGUCCGGAUUUAUUGGGCGUAAAGAGCUCGUAGGCGGCUUGUCGCGUCGACUGUGAAAACCCACGGCUCAACUGUGGGCUUGCAGUCGAUACGGGCAGGCUAGAGUUCGGUAGGGGAGACUGGAAUUCCUGGUGUAGCGGUGAAAUGCGCAGAUAUCAGGAGGAACACCGGUGGCGAAGGCGGGUCUCUGGGCCGAUACUGACGUGAGGAGCGAAAGCGUGGGGAGCGAACAGG